UACGUAGGGUACAAGCAUUAAUCGGAAUUAUUGGGCGUAAAGGGCGCGUAGGCGGGGACGUAAGUCAGGUGUGAAAUACCAAAGCUCAACUUUGGUGCUGCAUUUGAAACUGCGUUUCUUGAGGACUGAGGGAGAAAGCGGAAUUCCAUGAGUAGCGGUGAAAUGCGUAGAUACAUGGAGGAACACCGGUGGCGAAAGCGGCUUUCUACUUUUUACCUGACGCUGAGGCGCGAGAGCAAGGGGAGCAAACAG
rnacentral:rRNA from 1 species